UCCCUCUUAGCUCAGUUGGUAGAGCGCGACACUAGUAGCGCAAUGUCGAGGUCAGUCGUUCAAGUCGGCUAGCGGGAA